UUUUUUUUUCCCACUCUUCCUCUCUCACAAGUGUGAGGCAUUUCCCUAUUCUUCAAUUCUCUUCUUUCGAACAAAGAGAGGAGAGGUGUGCGCUUCCUUCCAUCCCCCCAACCCCCCUCCCUCAACCCCCACAAAAAAGGGGAAAAAAUUUGCAAGGAGGUACCGUGGCCUUAUGUUCUUCUUCGAUGAUGACCACGGCGGCGGUAGUGGUAGCGGUAGCGAUGACGACAUGUAGGAGAUCCCAUGGCCUUCCUCUUCUCUGACAAUGGCGAUGCGAGAGGAGGCCUUGUGGCUUUUUCUUCGAUUUAUCGGCGGCAUCAACUGUGCACGAGGGCCCACGUACUUCUUCAUCAUUCGUGAUGGCGCGGUUGAUUGACGGCGAAUUCCGGUCGUAGGUCGACCCUACAUUCGCGUCAAGAAGCGGCUGCGUACCUGCAGCCGUAGAAGCAAUCUUGAGGACAGUACGAAA